rnacentral:rRNA from 1 species
GCCUGGCCCUAAAUCUCAGUGCUUGACUAACUAAAGCACUCGCCCGAGAACUACGAGCACAAACGCUUAAAACUCUAAGGACUUGGCGGUGCCUCAAACCCACCUAGAGGAGCCUGUUCUGUAAUCGAUAACCCACGUUACACCUCACCAUCUCUUGCCAAAACAGCCUACAUACCGCCGUCGCCAGCUCACCUUCCCUGAGAGACUAACAGUGAGCGCAACAGCUACACCCGCUAGCAAGACAGGUCGAGGUAUAGCUAAUGAGAUGGUAGAAAUGGGCUACAUUUUCUAAGAUAGAAAACCCAACGAAAGGGGGCAUGAAACCUUCCCCCAGAAGGCGGAUUUAGCAGUAAAACAGGAUAAUAAAGCCCAAUUUAAGCUGGCCCUGAGGC